AGAGUUUGAUUCUGGCUCAGAACGAACGCUGGCGGCGUGGAUAAGACAUGCAAGUCGAACGAGAGAAUUGCUAGCUUGCUAAUAAUUCUCUAGUGGCGCACGGGUGAGUAACACGUGAGUAACCUGCCCCCGAGAGCGGGAUAGCCCUGGGAAACUGGGAUUAAUACCGCAUAGUAUCGAAAGAUUAAAGCAGCAAUGCGCUUGGGGAUGGGCUCGCGGCCUAUUAGUUAGUUGGUGAGGUAACGGCUCACCAAGGCGAUGACGGGUAGCCGGUCUGAGAGGAUGUCCGGCCACACUGGAACUGAGACACGGUCCAGACACCUACGGGUGGCAGCAGUCGAGAAUCAUUCACAAUGGGGGAAACCCUGAUGGUGUGACGCCGCGUGGGGGAAUGAAGGUCUUCGGAUUGUAAACCCCUGUCAUGUGGGAGCAAAUUAAAAAGAUAGUACCACAAGAGGAAGAGACGGCUAACUCUGUGCCAGCAGCCGCGGUAAUACAGAGGUCUCAAGCGUUGUUCGGAAUCACUGGGCGUAAAGCGUGCGUAGGCUGUUUCGUAAGUCGUGUGUGAAAGGCGCGGGCUCAACCCGCGGACGGCACAUGAUACUGCGAGACUAGAGUAAUGGAGGGGGAACCGGAAUUCUCGGUGUAGCAGUGAAAUGCGUAGAUAUCGAGAGGAACACUCGUGGCGAAGGCGGGUUCCUGGACAUUAACUGACGCUGAGGCACGAAGGCCAGGGGAGCGAAAGGGAUUAGAUACCCCUGUAGUCCUGGCAGUAAACGGUGCACGCUUGGUGUGCGGGGAAUCGACCCCCUGCGUGCCGGAGCUAACGCGUUAAGCGUGCCGCCUGGGGAGUACGGUCGCAAGAUUAAAACUCAAAGAAAUUGACGGGGACCCGCACAAGCGGUGGAGUAUGUGGCUUAAUUCGAUGCAACGCGAAGAACCUUACCUGGGCUUGACAUGUAAUGAACAACAUGUGAAAGCAUGCGACUCUUCGGAGGCGUUACACAGGUGCUGCAUGGCCGUCGUCAGCUCGUGUCGUGAGAUGUUUGGUUAAGUCCAGCGACGAGCGCAACCCCUGUUGCCAGUUACCAGCACGUGAAGGUGGGGACUCUGGCGAGACUGCCCAGAUCAACUGGGAGGAAGGUGGGGACGACGUCAGGUCAGUAUGGCCUUAUGCCCAGGGCUGCACACGUACUACAAUGCCCAGUACAGAGGGGGCCGAAGCCGCGAGGCGGAGGAAAUCCUGAAAACUGGGCCCAGUUCGGACUGUAGGCUGCAACCCGCCUACACGAAGCCGGAAUCGCUAGUAAUGGCGCAUCAGCUACGGCGCCGUGAAUAAGUUCCCGGGUCUUGUACACACCGCCCGUCA
rnacentral:rRNA from 1 species